GCUUCACCACCGACGCGAUCUGGAGCAAUGGACGCGCGUCCGCUCCCAACCCUGUCUGCUUCUCUUCCGUCCCGGUCGUCAUCGCCCCUCGUCCGGGGCCUGAUGCCCCUGAGCUUUAUAGUGCCGGGACAUUGAUGAUCCCAAGUUUCGUCCAGCUAUCCGGGUAGAGUUCGGUUCCGCUCGACCUUUUGGAGUUCUGU
rnacentral:misc_RNA from 1 species